rnacentral:lncRNA from 1 species
GCUGUCUCUGGGAUGGGCUUAGAGAUGGGGACAAGCUGCACAGCAACUCGGCAGACCCCAACUCCCAUGCUAUAGGCCCAGCCAGGGAUGUACAAGAGCCAUGCGGCUGGCAUAGGCUGUGACCACCAUGGGGCCAGAUCCUCCAGGUUACUCAAGUCCAGAACGGUUCUGUGACUUCCCAGGAAAGGAAGAUGGGAGUAUGGUGAGCUCUCCACUUGCUUCCGUGUUCUUAGAAUCUCCAUGUGCAGGCACGGCGGUGUCAGCAGAGAUGGAGGCUGGGAAACUCUAAAAUUACCCAGGUAAGUAAUGCUGCCUUGGCGUUAAGAUCAUCGGAACGCCCGUGAUAUAUUGGCAGUACCAGAACCGACAGAACGGACUAGGAAGCAACCACGGGGAGUUCUCAUCCUGGGUCCCUGCAGCGGAUUAGCAGGUGAAAAUACCUUGUCUUCAAAAUGGCCACUGGUUAGGAUGACGAGAGGCGAAAACUAAAAGGCAGAAAUUCAAGCUUAAGUAGAUUAACAAAAGGAAGGCUUCUCCAGGAUAUUUUUCUAAUGCUUGCUCAUCCUGUGAUUUAAAUAUUUAUUCUCCACACACAGCCAAGGUGUCCACACAGAGUCAGCUGAACGCUGGACCCAGGGCUCUCCUCCGAGGGGCAAUGCUGAGAUUUUUGUGUGUAUAAUAUUAUUAGAGAAAGGAUAAAUAUUUAAAAAGAAACCAGUCAUUUUUCCUUAUGGACUACCAUAAGUUCUCCAAACACUCUGAGGAAGACCGUGCCACGUCCUUACAGGACAGCCGUCAGUCUCAGGAGCCCGACAAGAGUUUUCUCUGCAAUUCUGUUGCGUUCAGUUUUGACUUGAAUCUGCAACCCAUCAGCAAAGGCUUUGCCAUGUUGCUUAUACAAAGGUUUUCAGUGAGUGACAUUUGUUGAAGUGGGAUUUAAUUUAAACUUGAUAGCAGCCCUGUGGCGACACUGGAAGCCUCCCUCCCCAUUAGGGUCGCCGGAACAUUUUGGAAAGAGCUGCAGUACCGGAGUCACAUCCCGCCUCUGCCUACCAAGGGGCCGCUGAAAAGGGGGGGGGGGGUUAGUUUUGUUUCUCGUGGCGAUUUUUUCCCUUAUCUCUAGACUGAGUGUGAGCUCUCCAUUUUAAGAAGAUGCUCACAUUUGCUUCUGAUUCUCUUUCCAGCCUUGCCAUAUCCAUACUUUUCCGUCUCGGCUGGGGGAAACACUGUCACUGGACUCACUGCAUUAAUCUCUGUCUACCUUGGCUGGCUGGUUGGUCACGCAUCUCAAAAGAGCAAGUACUAAAUAAGUAAAAAGCAUCAGAAGAAAAUAAUGAGACUCUGGGCCCCAUCUGUAGCUAACUGCCUUCCUUCUACCCUUCCUGAACCAGAAGGACCCCUCCAGACACAUCCUUGCUGAGUUACACAGGUGGUUCUCGAACCACAGAAUUGGACAUGGUUUCAAAUAAAAAUUUCGUCCUUUUUCCUAUUUUCAAAGACAGUAGAGCUCAAAGACAGUAAACGUCCCUCCUACUACAGUGGCAGGCAAAGUUGAAAGCGCUGACCCACCUCUUCCCGCAGCACCGACUUGUCCAGUUUAUUGAACCUCAAUGUAAAAUGAAUGAAAACAACAGAUUUGAAACUUAUGCCCCUGCCGGGUGUGGUGGCUCACAUCUUUAAUCCCAGACCUGGAGAAGCAGUGGUAGGUGGAGUUUCUGUGAGGCCAGCCUGGUCUAUAUAGUAAGUUCAAGACACUCGGGAAUAUAUAGAAAGAUCCGUUCCCUUGUCAAUCAAUCAAUCAAUCAAUCAAUAAAUAGAUUGUUCUUAAGGAAACCUAAGUUUCCAAGUAAGCGGGCUCAGGGAGAACUCUUUAUCAAUAUUGAUUACCUGAGAAUCAUUUUAUGAUGUCACCAUUGGAGUGUGACACCCACACAGUCGUUGCAGGUAGAUUGUUAGAAGGCCACCCUCCAAAGCCUUUUGGCAGUAUAAAUUAAACUUGAU